AAUUUAUUUCUCCAUGUUUAAUGCCUCAAAUUGCAAGUAGGGGGCUGAAAUUACACUGUAAAAAAAUUUGGGUCCAGAAUUUUAAAGGAAAGUAGUGAUAUGGUCCAGGUGAAAAAGGUUGAAAAUUAGCACUUCGGAAGCUGUCAAAAGAUUUCAAGACGCCCUAAACAUAAAAUUGUCCAUAUUUUGAGUUAGAGCCGAUGAAGUUUUCUAUAAUUUUGAUAUAAUUUGUCCCAAAAGUAGUAAAACACACUGUAAAAGUUUCUUUGAGAAAGCGCAGGUG
rnacentral:lncRNA from 1 species